ensembl:snoRNA
CAGGUUCCAUGAUGAAAAAAAUUAAAUCACCAUCUUUCAGCUCAGAUAGUGAUGAAUUUGAUUUUUUUUCUAAUAAAGCUA